rnacentral:rRNA from 1 species
CCUACGGGUGGCAGCAGUGGGGAAUAUUGGACAAUGGGGGCAACCCUGAUCCAGCCAUGCCGCGUGUGUGAAGAAGGCCCUCGGGUUGUAAAGCACUUUCAGUGAGGAAGAACGCCUGGUGGUUAAUACCCAUCAGGAAAGACAUCACUCACAGAAGAAGCACCGGCUAACUCCGUGCCAGCAGCCGCGGUAAUACGGAGGGUGCGAGCGUUAAUCGGAAUUACUGGGCGUAAAGCGCGCGUAGGUGGCUUGAUAAGCCGGUUGUGAAAGCCCCGGGCUCAACCUGGGAACGGCAUCCGGAACUGUCAAGCUAGAGUGCAGGAGAGGAAGGUAGAAUUCCCGGUGUAGCGGUGAAAUGCGGAGAGAUCGGGAGGAAUACCAGUGGCGAAGGCGGCCUUCUGGACUGACACUGACACUGAGGUGCGAAAGCGUGGGUAGCAAACAGGAUUAGAUACCCUGGUAGUC